UCUCUGUCUUUCUCUCUCUCCUUCUGACUGUCCUAACUUCUAUCUUUCUCCACUUCUAUCUGUUCUAGUUGAAUAAUUCAGUUCAUCUUGCUCUGCUGCCACGACUAACAUUAUACUCUUGUGCUACCAACACAAUGAAGUUCUAAAACCUGCUCUCUCUCUCUCUCUCUCUCUCUCUUUCUUUCUGUUCCUCUCUUUUUUCACCUGUUGCUUUCCCCCCUCUUCCCCUCUUUCUGACUCACAACAUGCAUCCAUGGUUGUGCAUCUCUCCUCUCUCUCUCCAUCUCUCUCUCUCUCUCCCUCUCAUCUCUCCUCUCUCUCUCUCCAUCUCUCCUCUCUCUCUCCAUCUCUCCUCUCUCUCUCCAUCUCUCUCUCUCCAUCUCUCUCCUCUCUCUCUCUCUCUCCCUCUCAUCUCUCCUCUCUCUCUCUCCAUCUCUCCUCUCUCUCUCUCCAUCUCUCUCUCUCUCCAUCUCUCUCUCUCUCUCCCUCUCAUCUCUCCUCUCUCUCCCUCCAUCUCUCCCUCUCUCCUCUCUCUCCCUCCAUCUCUCUCCUCUCUCUCUCCAUCUCUCUCCUCUCUCUCCCUCCAUCUCUCUCUCUCCCUCUCAUCUCUCCUCUCUCUCAUCUCUCCUCCCUCUCUCUCCUCUCUCUCUCCAUCUCUCUCUCUCUCUCCAUCUCUAUCCGCUCUCUCUCUCUCUCUCCAUCUCUCUCUCUCAUCUCUCUUCUCUCUCUCCCUCCAUCUCAUCUCUCCUCUCUCUCUCCAUCCCUCUCUCUCUCCAUCUCUCUCCUCUCUCCAUCUCUCGCUCUCUCCAUCUCUCUCCAUCUCUCUCUCUCCCUCUCAUUUCUCCUCUAUCUCUCUCUCCAUCUCUCUCUCUCAUCUCUCUCUCUCUCAUCUCUCCUCUCUCUCUCCAUCUCUCUCUCUCUCUCUCAUCUCUCCUCUCUCUCUCCAUCUCUCUCUCUCCCUCUCAUCUCUCCUCUCUCUCUCUCCAUCUCUCUCUCUCCAUCUCUCUCCUCUCUCUCUCUCUCUCCCUCUCAUCUCUCCUCUCUCUCUCAAUCUCUCCUCUCUCUCCAUCUCUCCUCUCUCUCCAUCUCUCUCCAUCUCUCUCUCUCCCUCUCAUCUCUCUCUCUCUCUCUCAUCUCUCUCCCUCUCAUUUCUCCUCUCUCUCUCUCUCCAUCUCUCUCCUCUAUCUCUCUCCAUCUCUCUCUCUCCCUCUCAUCUCUCUCUCUCUCUCUCAUCUCUCCUCUCUCUCUUCAUCUCUCUCUCUCCCUCUCAUUUCUCCUCUCUCUCUCUCUCCAUCUCUCUCCUCUAUCUCUCUCUCCAUCUCACUCUCUCUCAUCUCUCUUCUCUCUCUCUCCAUCUCUCUCUCUCCAUCUCUCUCCUCUCUCUCUCUCUCCAUCUCAUCUCUCCUCUCUCUCUCCAUCCCUCUCUCUCUCCAUCUCUCUCCUCUCUCUCUCUGUCUCUGUCUCCAUCUCUCUCUCUCUCUCUCUCUCUCUCUCCAUCUCCAUCUCUCUCUCUACCUCUUAUCUCUCCUCUCUCCGUCUCUCUCCUCUCUCUCUCCAUCUCUCUCUCCCUCCAUCUCUCUCCUCUCUCUCUCUCCAUCUCUCUCUCUCCCUCCAUCUCUCCCUCCAUCUCAGGGUGAGUGACAGAUAGUCUUCCGCCAAUGAGGUGCCACCAUCUUCA
ensembl:lncRNA